UACGUAGGGACCAAGCGUUGUUCGGAUUUACUGGGCGUAAAGGGCGCGUAGGCGGCGUGUUAAGUCAGCUGUGAAAUCUCCAAGCUUAACUUGGAACGGUCAGCUGAUACUGAUGUGCUAGAGUGCAGAAGGGGCAAUCGGAAUUCUUGGUGUAGCGGUGAAAUGCGUAGAUAUCAAGAGGAACACCUGAGGUGAAGACGGGUUGCUGGGGCUGACACUGACGCUGAGGCGCGAAAGCUAGGGUAGCAAACGGG
rnacentral:rRNA from 1 species